rnacentral:rRNA from 1 species
GGGUUGUGAGGUUAAGCGACUAAGCGUACACGGUGGAUGCCCUGGCAGUCAGAGGCGAUGAAGGACGUGCUAAUCUGCGAAAAGCGCCGGCGAGGUGAUAUGAACCCUUGACCCGGCGAUGUCCGAAUGGGGAAACCCAGUGUGAUUCGUCACACUAUCGUUAACUGAAUACAUAGGUUAACGAGGCGAACCGGGGGAACUGAAACAUCUAAGUACCCCGAGGAAAAGAAAUCAACCGAGAUUCCCCCAGUAGCGGCGAGCGAACGGGGAGCAGCCCAGAGUCUGAAUCAGCUUGUGUGUUAGUGGAAGCGUCUGGAAAGUCGCACGGUACAGGGUGAUAGUCCCGUACACGAAAGCACACAGGCUGUGAACUCGAAGAGUAGGGCGGGACACGUGGUAUCCUGUCUGAAUAUGGGGGGACCAUCCUCCAAGGCUAAAUACUCCUGACUGACCGAUAGUGAACCAGUACCGUGAGGGAAAGGCGAAAAGAACCCCGGCGAGGGGAGUGAAAAAGAACCUGAAACCGUGUACGUACAAGCAGUGGGAGCACCUUCGGGUGUGACUGCGUACCUUUUGUAUAAUGGGUCAGCGACUUAUAUUCUGUAGCAAGGUUAACCGUAUAGGGGAGCCGAAGGGAAACCGAGUCUUAACUGGGCGUUAAGUUGCAGGGUAUAGACCCGAAACCCGGUGAUCUAGCCAUGGGCAGGUUGAAGGUUGGGUAACACUAACUGGAGGACCGAACCGACUAAUGUUGAAAAAUUAGCGGAUGACCUGUGGCUGGGGGUGAAAGGCCAAUCAAACCGGGAGAUAGCUGGUUCUCCCCGAAAGCUAUUUAGGUAGCGCCUCGUGAACUCAUCUUCGGGGGUAGAGCACUGUUUCGGCUAGGGGGCCAUCCCGGCUUACCAACCCGAUGCAAACUACGAAUACCGAAGAAUGUUAUCACGGGAGACACACGGCGGGUGCUAACGUCCGUCGUGAAGAGGGAAACAACCCAGACCGCCAGCUAAGGUCCCAAAGUCAUGGUUAAGUGGGAAACGAUGUGGGAAGGCCCAGACAGCCAGGAUGUUGGCUUAGAAGCAGCCAUCAUUUAAAGAAAGCGUAAUAGCUCACUGGUCGAGUCGGCCUGCGCGGAAGAUGUAACGGGGCUAAACCAUGCACCGAAGCUGCGGCAGCGACGCUUAUGCGUUGUUGGGUAGGGGAGCGUUCUGUAAGCCGUUGAAGGUGGCCUGUGAGGGUUGCUGGAGGUAUCAGAAGUGCGAAUGCUGACAUAAGUAACGAUAAAGCGGGUGAAAAGCCCGCUCGCCGGAAGACCAAGGGUUCCUGUCCAACGUUAAUCGGGGCAGGGUGAGUCGACCCCUAAGGCGAGGCCGAAAGGCGUAGUCGAUGGGAAACAGGUUAAUAUUCCUGUACUUGGUGUUACUGCGAAGGGGGGACGGAGAAGGCUAUGUUAGCCGGGCGACGGUUGUCCCGGUUUAAGCAUGUAGGCGGAGGUUCCAGGUAAAUCCGGUACCUUUUAACGCUGAGGUGUGAUGACGAGGCACUACGGUGCUGAAGUAACAAAUGCCCUGCUUCCAGGAAAAGCCUCUAAGCAUCAGGUAACACGAAAUCGUACCCCAAACCGACACAGGUGGUCAGGUAGAGAAUACCAAGGCGCUUGAGAGAACUCGGGUGAAGGAACUAGGCAAAAUGGUGCCGUAACUUCGGGAGAAGGCACGCUGAUAUGUAGGUGAAGCCCCUGCGGGUGGAGCUGAAAUCAGUCGAAGAUACCAGCUGGCUGCAACUGUUUAUUAAAAACACAGCACUGUGCAAACACGAAAGUGGACGUAUACGGUGUGACGCCUGCCCGGUGCCGGAAGGUUAAUUGAUGGGGUUAGCGGCAACGCGAAGCUCUUGAUCGAAGCCCCGGUAAACGGCGGCCGUAACUAUAACGGUCCUAAGGUAGCGAAAUUCCUUGUCGGGUAAGUUCCGACCUGCACGAAUGGCGUAAUGAUGGCCAGGCUGUCUCCACCCGAGACUCAGUGAAAUUGAACUCGCUGUGAAGAUGCAGUGUACCCGCGGCAAGACGGAAAGACCCCGUGAACCUUUACUAUAGCUUGACACUGAACACUGGUCCUUGAUGUGUAGGAUAGGUGGGAGGCUUUGAAGCGUGGACGCCAGUCUGCGUGGAGCCGUCCUUGAAAUACCACCCUUUAAUGGCUGGUGUUCUAACGUAGACCCGUAAUCCGGGUUGCGGACAGUGUCUGGUGGGUAGUUUGACUGGGGCGGUCUCCUCCCAAAGAGUAACGGAGGAGCACGAAGGUUAGCUAAUCCUGGUCGGACAUCAGGAGGUUAGUGCAAUGGCAUAAGCUAGCUUGACUGCGAGAGUGACGGCUCGAGCAGGUGCGAAAGCAGGUCAUAGUGAUCCGGUGGUUCUGAAUGGAAGGGCCAUCGCUCAACGGAUAAAAGGUACUCCGGGGAUAACAGGCUGAUACCGCCCAAGAGUUCAUAUCGACGGCGGUGUUUGGCACCUCGAUGUCGGCUCAUCACAUCCUGGGGCUGAAGUAGGUCCCAAGGGUAUGGCUGUUCGCCAUUUAAAGUGGUACGCGAGCUGGGUUUAGAACGUCGUGAGACAGUUCGGUCCCUAUCUGCCGUGGGCGCUGGAGAAUUGAGGGGGGCUGCUCCUAGUACGAGAGGACCGGAGUGGACGCAUCACUGGUGUUCGGGUUGUCAUGCCAAUGGCACUGCCCGGUAGCUAAAUGCGGAAGAGAUAAGUGCUGAAAGCAUCUAAGCACGAAACUUGCCCCGAGAUGAGUUCUCCCUGAGACUUAAAGUCUCCUGAAGGAACGUUGAAGACGACGACGUUGAUAGGUCGGGUGUGUAAGCGCAGCGAUGCGUUGAGCUAACCGAUACUAAUGAACCGUGAGGCUUAACCUUACAACGCCGAAG